AUUUAUUUAGUUUAAUUAAAAACUUUAAUUUGUGAUAUUAAAAAUUUUUAUAAAUU
rnacentral:tRNA from 2 species